UUAAAAAAAAAUCAGUGUAGGGUGAAAAACAAAAACAGAACCCCAUCUCUGAUGUUGGAGUUGACUGCUAUCCUGUUGCAAUGUAACCUCAGUUUUACAGCUAAUUGAUCAGAUUAAAGGUUGAGUCCUUGGUGGCUAAGGCAGGACCAAAGAGCAAGAUAUGUGGGAGAUUCGUUUGGAAUCUCUGUAGGGAGUCAAAUUGUUUUGAAGAUUCAUCUGUUCUUUCUUGCCAGGAAGAAAAUGCAACAUCUGUUGGGAGACAGUGGUGUUAUAUAGAAAGAACAGAGACUUAGAAGAUAGCAGUUUAGUCUUGAUAUCUUCAGUUUUUGAUUUAGCGAUCUUCAGAGAAUUAUUUCCCUCUCUGAGUUCCCAAUUUAUAAAAUGAACCCCCUCACCCUACCUUAACUACUUUACAGCUUUAUUGGUGACCAAAUGAGAUAAUGGUGCAAAAGUAUUUUAUAAUCUGUAACAUACUCUGUAAAUAAAAGGAAAUAUUAAAACUCUGAGGAAAUAACCUUUGUGAAAAAAUGAUGGUAUCAUGGAAAAAGCACACGUUUUGAGUAAGACAAAACAUAGGGCCAAAUUCUAGUUAUGUCACCACAAACUAUACUGCCCUGAGCAACAUUUCUUUGUUUUCAGAUCAGUUUCUCAUCAAUAAAAUGGGGUAACAGUGAUUCUCUACCUAAUGUUGCUGUGAGGAUUAACUGAAACUAUGCAUGUAAAUAAUAAUAAUAAUAAUAAUAGUUUACAGUGAAAUAGCAGGUGCUCAGUACAUGGUAUUUCUUUUAAAAAUGCAAUUAGAAUUCAAUGACUCAGAAUGACAUAGCCUUAUAAAAGAGAAUGGUAGCUACUACUUUUCCUUAUUUCUCAAAGGAUGGGAUGUUGAACAAAGAAGGAAAAAGAGGCAUAGUUAAGUUUAAAAAAAUCACUGAAGAGGAGAUGACAGGUGGCAGGAAGCUGUUGUGGGGAGGAAGUUCUGGAAAGUUUUAGCUAGGAGAUGACAUUUGACUCAGUCUCUUGUGUGUGAGGAGGCACACGAGAGGCUUUCCAUGCGUGAUGGGAGAGACUCAUCCAGACAGGACAGGAUAAAGCAAGCUGCAUCCAGGAAAGGGAGGACAAGGCAUCCAAGCAAAGGAUCCAGCAUAGGCCUGGAGAAAGGAAUAGGGGAAGCUCUGUAGGAAGAGAAGCUUAGUUUGCUUUUCUUGGGAGUUUGCUUUAUUCUGUAGACCAUGCAAAGGGUUGACACAGGGAAGACACAUGAUCACACUUACUUUGCAAAAAAGAACUUUCUGGUAGGAGCACAGAGGGUAUGUGGAAGAGGAGAGCAGUAAUAGUAGCAAAAAUGACACUUAGUAAGUUGUUGAACUAGAAUGGGAGCAAUGAGGAGGAUUGUAGUUAGGGAAGACUAAUGCUGAGCAAUGCUAAUGUUCUGUACCACUAUAAUAUAUUUAGUAGAGUAACUCUGGGGUAAACAUGUCUUUUUCCCAUAUGGACUGCAUUUUUAAAUCAUUAUUCUGAUCAAUGAAGGAGAAUAUAGGAGGCUUUAAAUGGCUUCCUAAGCAGACCAAUUUUUAAGAUGGUUGACUAGGGAGAGCAGUUGAUAAUAGAUUCCAUUUUACCAACUUCUGUCAGUGUUUCUUCUUUUGGUAAUCUCUUUUGAAGUAAUAGAAUGUGACUCCAAUAUGUUCAACCAUUCUAAAAUAAAGUCAAAUGCUUUUAUUUUACUGUAAAACUUAAAGCAAUCAGGCAUCAUUAGUAAUACCGAAAGGGAUUAUAUUAAAGUGUAAUAUUAAAAUGCUAACAUCUGUUCCGGCUUCAGGGUUUAUUGAACUUUUCAAACUUUUAGAUGAAGAAAUAUCAAAUUUAAAGUGAAAGUACCCUGAAUUAAUAAAAUAACUUUUUCCUCCUGACAAUGCUAGAAGAGAAUGGGAGAUAUAAUCCAUCUUUAGGGAGAGGUAAAAAGAGAAGAGUUAAACAUAUUUUCUGUACUGAGUAUAUGGAGAGUUAGUUCUAUUUAGGGUUGGUCUAUGCCUCAUAAGUUAAUUUUGUUUUAGAGGAAAUAAUUUUGCCCCCUAAACUCUUAGGUUCCAUUUUCCAAGUUUUCAGCACCCCAGUGCAAAACAGAUGGUCACUGUAAUGGAGGCAGUGUGAAAUGGGAGGGUGAUUACUCUGACCUCACCUUUCUCUCAUCCAUUUCACCUCUCAUAGUUUUCUGGGAAUACCUCCAUUGGCCAAAUCCAAGUGGAAGUCAGUAUGCAAGGGAGCCUACUGAUGAUGUUCAUGAUGAUCAACCUACCUGAGCAUAAGCAUGGUGAAGAAGUAUGGCUUGUCUUGUGAAGUCCACACGGAUGGGAUGGUGGGGUGAUGGUGUUCUUUGACAAGAAGCACCAGAGACAGUUUUGGUGAAGAUGUCCGUUUAUUAACAGUUAGGCACAAGCUUUUAUAGGGCAGACAAAGGGGAGUAGCCAGUUUAAGGUAGCAACACUAAUUCUAUAGGAUAAAGCUGAUACUGGUACCUCUACACUUCUCCAAUCAGCUUGAAGGUCAUGUAGCCUAGGUAUCCUUCCAGGUAGUUUUAUGGGUCUUGGCCACACCUAGGAGCUGUUUACCUAGUUGACAAUUACAAGGCCCCUCAACAGGAAGCUGUGGUUGGGAAAUGUGCCUGGGGUCCCUGCCGCCUGCCAGAGGUCAGGUCAUAUGUGGGUCUCAAUGUGCCUAGUCCUCAACCAGGGUUUUUCUCAGGGGGCAUGGUGUGCCAUGCCCUCUUGACCUCAUGCAUAGGAUAGGCAAGCAGUCUUCCAGCCAGGCACAGGAUCACCCACAAAGAAGAGCAGACUGCUCUACAGAGGCAAAUGUAGAUGUUCCCAUGUAUGAGUCACAAGGUAUUUUAACCAGAUGUGCUCAGCAGAUAGUUGAUACAACAAAGAUUUGGGGUCUUAAGUCAGCCUGUAUUUUUUUAAAGAUUUAUUUUAUUUAUUUGAAAGACAGAGUUACAGAGAGAGGUAGAGAGAGAGAGAGAGAGGUCUUCCAUCCGCUGGUUCACUCCCCAGAUGGCAGCGACAGCCAGAGCUGUGCCGAUCUGAAGCGAGGAGCCAGGAGCCAGGAGCUUCUUCCAGGUCUCCCAUGUGGGUGCAGGGGCCCAAGGACUUGGGCCAUCUUCUACUGCUUUCCCAGGCCAUAGCACAGAGCUGGAUUGGAAGAGGAGCAGCCAGGACUAAAAGUGGUGCCCAUAUGGGAUGCCGGCAUUUCAGGCCAGGGUAUUAACACACUGAGCCACAGCGCCAGCCCCCAGCCUGUAUUUUUUAUUUUUGUCAUUCUAUUUCAUGAGCCAGGAGAAAUUUUUCUCAUCUAUGAAGUUUUAAAUAAAGUCCAUUUUAUAUUGUUAGAGUUUUUGAUUCAUCAAUUUUGAUUUUCCCACCUUAAAGAAAUCAUUGUCCUCUGUAUAGUGGGAUAAAAAAUAUCUGCCUGAUAGGAUUGUUUAAAGUACUGAACCAAAUAAUAAUGGGAAAGAACUUAGUACAGUGUUUGGCACAGAUAUUACACAGGGAAAAUUAGAUUAAAAAUUUCCUUCAGUACAAACAAGUCCAGUUCUUCAAAAGGAUCCUGAAAUUUUACUUCCUGAAUGGCCUCUCCCAUAGACAAAAUAAAUUGGUAUAGUUCACUGAUAACUCUUAGGAUUUUUGAGACUAAGCAAUAGAGGUCUUUCUGGUUGUUAGAGUCUAGUAAUUCAUUUCAGUUUAUUCUACAUUGUUUCAUCAUCAUUCCUUAGAGCCAUUAGAAUCUUCGGUUUGGACAUCUAUACCUUAAGUUUUUUCAUAGCCAAGAGCUGAAGGAAAAACAGAGCUAAUCUGUAUUUUCUCCACUAGGAUACAUGCUUCACAAAAGCAGAUCUAGUGGAUGUGACAUCGAGGACCUACGGGGAGAGCAAGGUCACCCACCGCGUGGAAGCCAAGCCACGGGAGCCGAGCUGCUGCAGAAGCCGAGCCGCAGAGUCUGCACAUCAGCGCUGGAAGGGGAGGUGAGACAAAAACCCCAGUAACCCAAGACAUUGGCGGGGAAAGGCAGAAAGAGCCUACAGGGAACGAGGCCUGAAGCCCCACUGGGGAAAGUUCACCAGGCUGACUGGAGGAGAGAAAAAAAAUGAAUAAAUAAGGGGAACCGGCAUGGACAUUAGCCUCUCUCUCCACUCACCUUACAAAGCCAAGCAAGACAAAGAGCAGGUGCCAUUUUACGUAUGUAAAGUAGCGCCCGCCAUUAGCCAAGCAGAAAAACCUGACUCUGGUGGGGAGAAAUAACAGGAGGUUAACACCUAGUGAAAGUGUGGAGCUAAAGAACUGAGACUGUGAAAAUCUGAGGGGGAGCCAAGAGAACUCACCGAGUACACAAACUUGGUAACCUGGGCAACCUGGUGAGAGACUGCAGAAAAAUUUGAGACCACACUGAAGGCUGCAUAAACUCUUUGUGUGGUCCCAGGGGUAAGCAGACGAAUACCCACAGGGGCCAGAUUUCAUACAUCAACUACCCUCAAUUCCACUCAGCUGUGUGGAAUUACUUCCCAACUGAGUCAAAAAAAAAAAAAAAAAAGAGAGAGAGAGAGAGAGAGAGCGAGAGAACAAUCUGGGUGAAUCACCUUUGGCACACCCUUAACCCUGAAGAACCAAACAGAGCUCUCUGGCCACACCCAUCACAGCCUCUAAGGAUCCAUCAAAAGCAGACAGUCCACUUAAUCUAGAGUCACAGUAUAACGAGAAAAAACACCACACCAAAGAAACCAAAGAAUAUCUCCAAUAUGCCAAACAACAAAUGCAGAAACUGAGGUAACAAGAACAAGGAAGACACUAUGACGCCCCCAAAUGAAAUAGACACCCCAAUUCAAGAUUAUGAAGAUGAUGAGAUAGAAGUAAUGCAAGAAGUGGAUCUCAAAAAAUUGAUAAGAACAUUAAGAAGUUCUCAAAAACAAAUUCUUGAACCACAGAAAUCCUUAAUGGACAAGAUAGAAAAUCUCUCUCGUGAAAAUGAAAUAUUAAGGAGGAAUCAAAAUGAAAUGAAACAACUAGUAGAACAUGAAACUGUGAUAGUGACAAGAAAUCAUAAUGAAAUUAAGAACUCAAUAGAUCAAAUGACAAACAUAUUAGAGAGCCUUAAAAACAGAAUGGGUGAAGCAGAAGAGAGAAUAUCGGACUUAGAAGACAGAGAACAGGAAAAUAUACAGUCAAACCAAAGAAAAGAAGAGGAAAUUAGAAAUCUAAAAAAUAUUGUCGGGAAUCUUCAGGAUACUAUUAAAAAACCCAACAUUCGGGUUCUAGGAGUUCCUGAAGGCAUGGAGAGGGAGAAAGGAUUAGAAUGCCUUUUAGUGAGAUACUAGCAGAAAAUUUCCCAGGUUUGGAGAAGGACAGAGACAUCCUAGUACAGGAAGCUCAUAGAACCCCUAAUAAACAUGUCCAAUAGAGAUCCUCACCAUGACACGUUGUAAUUAAACUCACCACAGUGAAACAAAGAAAAAUCCUAAAAUGUGCAAGAGAGAAACGUCAGAUUACUCUCAGAGGAUCUCCAAUCAGACUUACAGCUGACUUCUCAUCAGAAACCCUACAAGCUAGGAGGGAAUGGGGAGAUAUAGCCCAGGUACUAAGAGAGAAAAACUGCCAGCCCAGAAUAUUAUAUCCUGCAAAGCUCUCAUUUGUGAAUAAAGUGAAAUAAAUACCUUUCACAGCAAACAGAAAUUGAAAGCAUUUGUCGCCACUCGUCCAGCCCUGCAAAAGAAGCUUAAAGAUGUGUUACACACAGAAACACAGAAACACGGUCAUCAAUAUGAAAGAAGGUAAACAAAGGAAACCUCACAGCAAAAGAUCACAGGAAGUUCAAAACAUAUAUUAGAAAAUAUCUUCGGCAAAUGGCAUGGCAAAGUUACUCCUUACCAAUAGUCACAUUGAAUGUUAAUGGCCUGAACUGUCCAGUUAAAAGACACUGAUUGGCUGACUGGGUUAAGGAACAAAACCCAUCUAUUUGCUGCUUACGAGAAACACAUCUUUCCAACAAAGAUGCAUACAGACUGAAAAUGAAAGGCUGGAAAAAGAUAUACCAUGCCAACAGAAAUGAGAAAAGAGUGGGCAUAGCCAUCUUAAUAUCGGACAACAUAAACUUUAUCACAAAAACUGUUAGGAGAGACAAAGAGGGGCACUAUAUAAUGAUUAAGGGAUCAAUUCAACAGGAAGAUAUAACAAUUAUCAAUGUAUAUGCACCUAAUUACAGGGCACUGGUUUAUUUAAAAGAUUUGUUAAGGGACUUAAAGUGAGACUUAGACCCCAAUACAAUAGUACUUGGGGACUUCAAUACUCCACUCUCAGAAACAGACAGAUCUACAGGACAGAAGAUCAACAAGGAGACAGUAGAUUUAAAUGACACUAUAGCCCAAAUGGAUCUAACAGAUAUCUACAGAACUUUUCAUCCUACACAUAAAGAAUUUACAUUCUUCUCAGCAGUACAUGGAACCUUCUCUAGGGUUGACCACAUACUAGGCCAUAAAGCAAGUCUCAGCAAAUUCAAAAGAAUUAGAAUCAUACCCUGCAGCUUCUCAGACCAUAAAGGAAUGAAGUUGGAAAUUAGCAAUUCAGGAAUCCCUAGAGCAUAUGCAAACACAUGGAGAUUGAACAACAUGCUCCUAAAUGAACAAUGGGUCAUAGAAGAAAUUGAAAGAGAAAUCAAAAAUUUUCUGGAAGUAAAUGAGGAUAACAGCACAACAUACCAAAACU